UGGGCACAGAAGGAUUUGAACCUCCAACCGUCUGUUUGUAAGACAGACGCUCUACCCUUGAGCUAUGUACCC
rnacentral:tRNA from 1 species